GAUGAAGAACGCAGCGAAAUGCGAUAAGUAGUGUGAAUUGCAGAAUUCAGUGAAUCAUCGAAUCUUUGAACGCACAUUGUGCCCCUUGGUAUCCCGAGGGGCAUGCCUGUUCGAGCGUCAUUUCACCACUCAAGCCUGGCUUGGUGUUGGGCGACGUCCUCUUUGGGGACGCGCCUCGAAACGCUCGGCGGCGUGGCACCGGCUUUAAGCGUAGCAGAAUCUUUCGCUUUGGAAGUCGGGGCCCCGUCUGCCGGAAGACCUGCUCGCAAGGUUGACCUCGGAUCAGGCAGGGAUACCCGCUGAACUUAAGCAUAUCAAUAAGCGGAGGA
rnacentral:misc_RNA from 1 species